rnacentral:rRNA from 1 species
UAGGGAAUCUUCGGCAAUGGACGAAAGUCUGACCGAGCAACGCCGCGUGAGUGAAGAAGGUUUUCGGAUCGUAAAACUCUGUUGGUAGAGAAGAACGUUGGUGAGAGUGGAAAGCUCAUCAAGUGACGGUAACUACCCAGAAAGGGACGGCUAACUACGUGCCAGCAGCCGCGGUAAUACGUAGGUCCCGAGCGUUGUCCGGAUUUAUUGGGCGUAAAGCGAGCGCAGGUGGUUUAU